rnacentral:lncRNA from 12 species
CGACCUCCCCUGCCGGGUGGAGCCCGUGUGUGGGUGUGGGGCGGCUGCCAGCCCUCCGGGUGUCUCACUAAUUGUACCCUGGGGUGUGGUCCACUGUGGGCACCGGAGCCCACGAAGCAGAUGGUGGGGGCAGUGACUUGGGCGGAGGCGAGGCCGGGAAAGCCCCAGGCGGCAGGGCUGGGUCGGUGACAGGCGGCCCAGCGCCCAGGCCGAGGACAGGACACUGUGUUUUGAUUAUUUCCAGUUUCCUGACCCCCAAGUAGUGAUUUAAUGUUCCUGUUUACUCCAAGGGUUAGAACAGAAGGCGGGACGGCUAAGCUGGCCUCCUUGGCCUCCCCUGGCGUCACCCCUAAACUCCCAGCAAAGAAGCAGUCGGAGGGAGCAAAGGAUCUGGGGGGACAGUGCAAGGCCUCUGGGGACGUCCAAUCCUAGAGGGUCUGUUCCUUUCUUCAAGAAGCAUCCACCAGCACCAGGCGGGCGCUGGGACCACAGACAAGUGUCGGAGGAAAGGUGCAGACCCCCCCCGGGUGGGGCCGGUGACAGGAGAGGAGGAGACAGAGGGGUGCCCGGCACAUAGUAGGUGCUCAGGAAACAUCCCUCGUGGGCCUGAAUGCGAGCACGGAUGAGUCUGAACGGACUGGACAAUGUGGCCCCAAAGGCGGAGACCCCACGCCAAGGCCCUCCACAGAGAAGAUUCGGGAGAGGAGGCGAAGGAAGAGGCUGGGUGCUGGUUUGGGAGUCUCCACCAGCCCCAACAGGACGCACCAGUGGGUGUGGUGUGGCCCAAGUCGGGAGCAGGUGACCUCACAAUUGGGGGUUGGGGACCAAGAAUGCAGCCUCAAGCGCCCACCACGCCAACACCCUGCCAUCCACGGCCCCUGCGACCUGGCCUGGACAUCGGAGCUCCACUCUGAGCCUCCGGGAGGGGAGCCCGUGUCCUGGAUUCAGCCUGACGCCCCAGUGAGGCCUCAAGAACCGUCCACGAGUGGGCAGCAGCCACAGCGGCAGGGCCUCCAGACCGCAAGUUCCCCACCGUGGCCCCCCGCCACCACCGCCUCGGGAGGGGAAGCCUGGCUUCCUGAGGCUCAUGCAUUUGUGCAGGGCCACAAGGACAGCAAGGCCAAGGGGCCAGUCUUCCCUUCAGGUGGAGGGCCCGCCAUGGUGAGCCAGACCAGUGGUGGGCCGGUGUGCCCAGUCGGUGCCUCGGUGGGCCAUAAAGAUGCCCCUCGCGGCGGGGGGGGGGUGCAGGCUGCAUAUCCCAGCACCCUUGUCCUCACCCCAGACUUCCCCUUGGCACAACCCCAGGAAAGAUGCCAGUCACUGUGGCUGCCGUCUUAGUGCUCGCUGUGGGCCAAGACCCCGACAUCGUCCCUACAGAACCUACCUAUGGGUUUGAUCGCACCUUUCCAGGGGUGACUAUUUGAGCAAAGCUGGUCUCCCCAGCAGAACAGUAAGCAACGUGGGGGCGGGGCUGUGUCUGUUUCAGCCACCAGCACCAGACCUGCUUCCUUAAUAAAUGCUUUAGCAAGUAUUCA